GAUGAACGCUGGCGGCGUGCCUAAUACAUGCAAGUCGAGCGAACGGACGAGAAGCUUGCUCCUCUGAUGUUAGCGGCUGACGGGUGAGUAACACGUGGAUAACCUACCUAUAAGACUGGGAUAACUUCGGGAAACCGGAUCUAAUACCGGAUAAUAUUUUGAACCGCAUGGUUCAAAAGUUAAUGACGGUCUUGCUGUCACUUAUAGAUGGAUCCGCGCUGCAUUAGCUAGUUGGUAAGGUAACGGCUUACCAAGGCAACGAUGCAUAGCCGACCUGAGAGGGUGAUCGGCCACACUGGAACUGAGACACGGUCCAGACUCCUACGGGAGGCAGCAGUAGGGAAUCUUCCGCAAUGGGCGAAAGCCUGACGGAGCAACGCCGCGUGAGUGAUGAAGGUCUUCGGAUCGUAAAACUCUGUUAUUAGGGAAGAACAUAUGUGUAAGUAACUGUGCACAUCUUGACGGUACCUAAUCAGAAAGCCACGGCUAACUACGUG
rnacentral:rRNA from 1 species